rnacentral:rRNA from 1 species
GAUGAACGCUGGCGGCGUGCCUAAUACAUGCAAGUCGAGCGAACGGACGAGAAGCUUGCUUCUCUGAUGUUAGCGGCGGACGGGUGAGUAACACGUGGAUAAUCUACCUAUAAGACUGGGAUAACUUCGGGAAACCGGAGCUAAUACCGGAUAAUAUUUUGAACCGCAUGGUUCAAAAGUGAAAGACGGUCUUGCUGUCACUUAUAGAUGGAUCCGCGCUGCAUUAGCUAGUUGGUAAGGUAACGGCUUACCAAGGCAACGAUGCAUAGCCGACCUGAGAGGGUGAUGGGCCACACUGGAACGGAGACCCGGCCCAGCUUCCUACGGGAGGCAGCAGUAGGGAAUCUUCGGCAAUGGGCGAAGGCUUGACGGAGAAACGCCGCGGGAUUAAUGAAGGUUUUCGGAUCGUAAAACUCUGUUAUUGGGAAAGAACAAAUGUGUAAGUAACUGUGCACAUCUUGACGGUACCUAAUCAGAAAGCCACGGCUAACUACGUG